ACGGGGUGCAGCAGGCGCGAAAACUUUGCAAUAGGCGAAAGCCUGACAGGGCUAUCCCGAGUGCCAUCCGCUGAGGAAGGCUUUUACCCAGUCUAGAACGCUGGGGGAAUAAGGAGAGGGCAAGUCUGGUGUCAGCCGCCGCGGUAAUACCAGCUCUCCGAGCGGUGUGGAUGUUUAUUGGGCCUAAAGCAUCCGUAGCUGGCUAAGUUAGUCCCCUGUUAAAUCCACCGAUUUAAUCGUUGGAGUGCGGGGGAUACUGCUCGGCUAGGGGACGGGAGAGGCAGACGGUAUUUCCGGGGUAGGGGUGAAAUCCUAUAAUCCCGGGAAGACCACCAGUGGCGAAGGCUGUCUGCUAGAACGCGCCCGACGGUGAGGGAUGAAAGCUGGGGGAGCGAACCGGAUUAGAUACCCGGGUAGUCCCAGCUGUAAACGAUGCAGGCUAGGUGUUUGGACGGCCACGUGCCGUUCUAGUGCCGCAGGGAAGCCGUUAAGCCUGCCGCCUGGGGAGUACGGUCGCAAGGCUGAAACUUAAAGGAAUUGGCGGGGGAGCAC
rnacentral:rRNA from 1 species